GUGACAUCAUAUCCGGCCUAAGAGGGUUGUUGUGUAUCCAAAGGAAGGGGGUGGCAAAGGAGAAAGGGACCUGAAUAAAGAAGGGCGAGAAGCAACGGCCAGCUGGGAGCCUCGGUGUCUGAAAGGCUGCUUACGCGAGGUGCGCCUCGGGGCUCGGAAGCGCAGAGGGGAGGGGCGGAAUACUGAAAGGCUAAAGCUCAAAGGCACAACCAUGAAAGAUCCAAGUCGUAGGAGUACUAGUCCAAGCAUUAUCAGUGAAGACAUGAUCAUGAAUGGUCACUCUCAUGAAGAUGAUAAUCCGUUUGCAGAAUAUAUGUGGAUGGAAAAUGAAGAGGAAUUCAACAGGCAGAUUGAAGAGGAAUUGUGGGAAGAAGAAUUUAUAGAACGUUGCUUCCAAGAAAUGCUGGAAGAAGAGGAAGAGCACGAAUGGUUUAUUCCAGCGAGAGAUCUUCCGCAAACGAUGGAUCAAAUUCAAGACCAGUUUAACGAUCUUGUUAUCGGUGACAGUUCGUCACUGGAAGAUCUGGUGUUUGAAGAAUUAACCUCAAGGGAAUAAUAAGGACAUGGAGAAUUCAUUUCCAUUGUUCAUCUGUCAGUUUCCUUGAGGUCAAGAGUAAUCUGAAUCCCAAUGCAAAGGAGUUUGUUCCUGGGGUGAAGUACUAAAUAUAUGAGUAGACUGGGCCCUCUUUUGGUGGAUGUAGCACAAUUUCCACACUGUGAAGCCAGUAUUAGAAGAUUUAAUUGUUAAAACGCUCUCUCUUCUUGUCACUGUGUUACACUUACGCAUUGCCAAAGUUUUGUUAGUCUUGCAUGCUUAAUAAAAGUGCUGAGACUGUUAUUAAGUCAACUGCUGUCAGAGGUUAAUGAAUUGGAAAAAUCUAAUUGGAUCCAGGCCUUUUGUGAGGGAGACAAUAAGGAAGGAAGCACCAGUCAUUGUUGAGAAAAGUACCAAGUUUCUGAGAAACUCUUGCAAUUCUGUUUUUAGAAGGAUUCAGACUUUGAUAAAGAGUGGUCUGUUUUAAUUAAAACUUAUGGCGGUGUUGAUAUGCACCCAAUAAUGCCUUAAUGUGAAAAUAAAAGCAAGGUUUAUCUGAUUAUGCAGAUUAGCUGAAUUUCAGUACUGCUAUUAAUUCUUCCCAUUAUCAAGCAAAACUUUAUUUCAUGCUGUUCUUUUUUGAGGAAAGUGUGAAUUGUAAAAAAAUACCUGAAUCAUUUUUACAGGCCUGUAUAGAAUCCUUUCUCUUGGCUACAGAUCUGGUUGGGGGGAGGCGGGGGGAGAAAAUUUGGCAAUUGAGAUUAUAUUUGCAGCAAGUUAUCAUGUUGGAAUGUUUGUCCCACUUCUGAGUUUAUAUUUAAGGUGAUGUGAAGUUGUACAUCACAGAUUCUUCCAGGAAUCCAGAAACAUGGCACUGCCUCUGUAAAAUUUUACAAUCUUAAAAAUUGGAUUUAACUGUAAAAUUUAGUAUUAGUGAUUUGAGUGGUGCUUUUCCCUUGCUUUGUUUAAUCAUCACUACACAAUAGUCUACAGCACAACUUUUUUUUUAAAACACCUAGUACAGUUUUGGCUUCUUAAACUUCAUAUUUGGGUAGCUUACGCUGCCUUAUGUGUUCAGUGUGAAUAGUGUUUAAGUUGAAAAUAUUGUAA